CCUUCUUCCUCCCUCUCUUAGGGACGAUUUCUAAACCCUUUGGGUUUCUAAAAUUGACCAUUCUCCUAAUUAUUUUUAUUCCACUUUUUGGUUUCAUUGGGUAUAAUACCAUUAGAGAGAUUUUGGUUUGGGUCCUCUUAUCCAAACAACUUCAUGAAGGAUCAAGAUCUCAAGUAUGGAGAUCAAGAGCUACAUAAGAUGUCACCAGUAGACAGGUACGAUGACCAGGUUUUGAGAAGACGGAGCAUAGACAAGACUCGUCUUUUAUUUUGAUUACAUAUUUUGGUGUCUUAUAACUAUCAAAGAACACACAUGUAUUAAAACUUUACUUUUAUUGCAAUGGAUGAUGUUGUUUCUUGUU